GCAGAUCUCUUCAUCUUUGUGAAGGUGAAAGCAGUGGGCUUCAAAAGAGAGCAAGCAGCUGAACGCAGACAACCAGCUGACACAGGGUGUGAAGCUCUGCGGGAGGAAUAAUGCUCCUCCGCCUUCCUGCGGGAUGCCUCCUUUCUCCUUUGAAGCUGCUGUCAGUUUUCAUCAGAUUCCACUCAUCUCCAGGUUUUAGACACCAAAGAAAAGCCAAAGUGGUGGUGUGGCAAGCUUGGGGGACAUUUCUGCUCAGAGAAGCGGCAGAGUAAGGGUGGAGUCCUGAGCCCAGAAGCCUGGAAAAGCUGCCAUCAAAUCCCAGCUUAACGGCAUGAGCUCCAGCUGGUCUUUCAGAUUUCUGAACAUCAGAGUUCUCUUAUGAAGAAUGAGAGUGAUUCACCGGGAUAUAAGGAUGCAGUGAGAUGAUACAGGCCAUGCCCUUUGCAGAAUGCAUGGAAAAGGCAUGAGAUAUGCACUCGGUUAAAUGGCGUGAUUUUUAUCAUCAGCAUGUCUGUUAUAAAUUAGCGUGACUAUUUUUUCUAAAGCUUAUUUUUGUGUCUGGGUAUGUAGGCUUAUCCCUUUUAUACUCACACUAAUACAUCCAUAUGCACAAAAUAAAUGCUCAAACUGGGAUCGUAUCGAG